rnacentral:tRNA from 2 species
CCGCCAUUAGCUCAUCAGGAUAGAGCAUCAGCCUUCUAAGCUGACGGUACGAGGUUCAAGUCCUUGAUGGCGGGCCA